AGUGAACGCUGGCGGUAGGCCUAACACAUGCAAGUCGAACGGCAGCACAGUAAGAGCUUGCUCUUACGGGUGGCGAGUGGCGGACGGGUGAGGAAUACAUCGGAAUCUACUUUUUCGUGGGGGAUAACGUAGGGAAACUUACGCUAAUACCGCAUACGACCUACGGGUGAAAGCAGGGGAUCUUCGGACCUUGCGCGAUUGAAUGAGCCGAUGUCGGAUUAGCUAGUUGGCGGGGUAAAGGCCCACCAAGGCGACGAUCCGUAGCUGGUCUGAGAGGAUGAUCAGCCACACUGGAAGUAGGACACGGUCCAGACUCCUACGGGAGGCAGCAGUGGGAAAUAUUGGAAAAGGGGCGAAAGCCUGGUCCAGCCAUACCGGGGGGGUGAAGAAGGCCUUCGGGUUGUAAAGCCCUUUUGUUGGGAAAGAAAAGCAGCAGGUUAAUACCCCGCUGUUCUGACGGUACCAAAAGAAUAAGCACCGGCUAAUUUCGU
rnacentral:rRNA from 1 species